rnacentral:rRNA from 1 species
UACGGAGGAUGCGAGCGUUAUCCGGAUUUAUUGGGUUUAAAGGGUGCGUAGGCGGACGCUUAAGUCAGCGGUAAAAUUGCGGGGCUCAACCUCGUCGAGCCGUUGAAACUGGGUGCCUUGAGUGGGCGAGAAGUACGCGGAAUGCGUGGUGUAGCGGUGAAAUGCAUAGAUAUCACGCAGAACUCCGAUUGCGAAAGCGGCUCUCUGGUCUGUAACUGACGCUGAGGUUCGAAAGCGUGGGUAGCAAACAGG